AAAAACACCCUCCCAACGCUCAUUAAAUGAAGAAAACGAGCGAAGCCGUCGUCUCGUUCGACUAGCCGCACCGGUGCGUGCUCCAAAGCCAAUCGACGAGUCCGCGCCCCCGUUGUAUGAUCCGUUCCCGUUCGUCGUCGGCGACGCGGAUCCGAUGCGCGCAGAUGAUUUUCGCUUCCUGCGCGGCAAAUCUCGCGCCAAAUCCCCCUCGAAGCGCCACUGAAAUAUCCCCCAAAUCCCCGUCGACUAACCCUAGCUGCAGGAAGAGAAGCUAGCGGCAGCUGCGGCGGUGGCCACACCAUGCAGCAGGACCAGAAGCUGUCGUCGGCGGCGGCGCGGGAGCUGCUUAAGGCAGAGGCGCAAGGGGAGCGGAGGGCCAAGGUGGCGUUGCAGAAGCGAAAGGCCACGGGGGAAGCUGCGGCGGCGACACCGGAGCAGAAGCGGAAGGCCACGGGGGAGCUGCGGCGGCGCCGAAGCAGAUGAGUUCCGGCCGCGCCGGCCAUGCGCUGGAGCAGAACGAAGCAAGCGCAUCUUCAGCAUGUACUCCUCCGAUUUCAUUGGCUGACAGAAAUUGCUUCUUCAAUGGUGCCAGCUGCUUGUUCGGCAGCAGCCCUUUGUCUCAACCAUGGAUGCUAUCUUCAGAUCCUGCAACAUGUUGAUGUGUUGCUCUCGAGAAGAUGGUGUGAAGUCUAGAAUUCAAGUGUGAAAGGAAGAAGCUGUGCAUGUCAAUCAAGGCUGAAAAACAAGUCUGAAAGUGCCUCAUCAAUAUAUAUGUUGCGGUUAUUGUGAUGCAUUUUGAACCAAUGGCUAUUGAUGUGCCAUCUGAUAUGAUAGAUUUUCAUGUUGUGUGAACUGAAUUGAUCUAUUUUAAUGUUGUGUGAACUGAAUUGAUAUAUUAUACAUGCUUAUUUUAAGAGUCAUACAAAUUAUUUGAAUAUAUUAUGCAUUCUCUCA